AUCCCUCGUUUCCUACCUCAAAGUGGAAACUUGCAAAUUGUUGGCUUUGCUGCUUUAUGCUAGGCAAUUUGGAAUCUCAGGAAUAGAGCUUGCUUUGAAUUUAAACUUGUUAGGUCUCCUGCUGAAUUAAUAUGGCAUGGUGUAUCAUUCAUGAAUUACUGGGCAGCUCUGCAAACUGAUGAAAAUCGAGCAACGGUGGAAUGUGGUGUUGCUACUCUCCAUAGGACCGCACCGGAACAACAUGAUGAUGGGAGAAGGGAUCAGGGUGGUUUUGUCCUGAUGAUCACAGGAGAUGAAACAACGGCAAUGAUGAAGAAGCAAGGAAUGCAAACGAGGCGGUGGAUGAAGACUAAAAAAUAUGGUUGUUCUGCCUUGAAGAUAUCUUAUAUCAAAGAUGUCUGCCUGAUCCGUUUGCACAUUCCUGCUGCUUUGAGAUGA
rnacentral:rRNA from 1 species